AUAAACUGCUUGUCAUGGAACUGUCGGGGGAUUGGCGGAUCUCGUACAAUUCGUGACCUUGUGUCCCUUAAUCAAGUACAUCAUCCUCACUUUAUAUUCUUAUGUGAGACUAGACAAAACAAAGAGAAAUUCCGGCAACGGUGCAAUCGUCUAGGCUUGAGAGGCUUUGCUGGAGUUAGCAGUGAAGGCUUCAGCGGAGGACUGGCCCUGUUUUGGGAUGAGCAC
rnacentral:rRNA from 1 species